rnacentral:lncRNA from 1 species
UCACUGUUGCACAAUGUAUAUAUACGCAAGAUGUUUAUACUCAAAAACUGCAGUAUGUAUAGGGUUUGAACUUUAAUUUGUAGAUAGGUAAAUCCAUUACGCUAUAGUGAAAUGUGUAUGGGCGGCUUGAAAAAACUACAAAAUAUUAAAAAAAAAUAAUAAGUCAUAGAAAAAUAAGUGUUGUCCAGUCGAAAAACACGUAGGUAUUUUCAAAAAAAGUUGAAACAUUUGGGGUGCCUGGUUAAGGAUUUUUCUUUUAAUAGUUAUCUUUAAUACAUAUUAUCUAGGUAGUUAGGAUAUUUUUCAUUAGAUUUUAAUUUCAUUACUUAAUAGAACUUUUAGGAUGCUUAAUCUCCAUAAUUUUUAAAAACCUAAUUUAUUUCUGACUUUAAAUAUAUAAUAAAUGUAACAGUAAUACAUAUUAGAAAUUAAAUAAUCACUCUGAUAAUAACUGUAGAUGAUUAUAAAAUCAACCUCUGUUUAACAGUAAAAUUUCUAAAAGAACAGUAAUCACAUAGGUUAUUUCUGUUGUCGUUUUUUAGGUACACUAUUAUUUAUAUAAUUCCAUCAUAUAUGUCAAUACAAAUUGAUUACUCUUUAAUGGACUACAAAAAUUGCCCCUUUGGCAACAAGGUUCUUCCGCACUCUAAUAUGGGCCUGCUAAUGGGUCACUAUAUAUUAUACAAUUUCCUUGACCUUUCUGAAGUCCUAAUCUGUUCCAGAUUAUAUUGAAAUAAAAAUGUUUUAUUUGAAUACAUAUUUCAUUUUAAUAAUUAUAAUUUAUAAUUGAUCAUAAACUUAUAUGGUUAAAAACUAUAAAUUAUAUACUGUAUUUACAUAUUUUACUGUGACAUGAUUAAAUAUUAAAUAAUUUACUGUUUAUUAUAAAAUAUAUCUGCCAAUGUUUGUUUCAUUUUAGUAUUAUAAUUUUUAGAUAUAAUGGAUUCUUCUGAACUUAACUGUAUUUCAAAAAAUAAAUGUUUUGGAGGUUCUCAACGAGUUUAUGAACAUUUUAGGUAAUUAUUUAAACAAUUAUGAUAAUUGCUGUACGUCUGAUUACGAGAUGUUUAUUUAAUUUUUUUUAUUUUUCAGUUCUUCAUUACAAUGUAACAUGAAAUUUGCUAUUUACAUUCCUCCAGAAACAAUACGUUCUGAAAAAUUCCCUGUAUUGUUUUACUUAUCAGGUUUAACAUGCAGUGAACAAAAUGUCAUCACUAAGUCAGGAUUUCAAAAAUUUGCUGCUCAAUAUAAAAUAAUUAUUGUUGCUCCUGACACUAGCCCUAGUAAGUUGAUAUCUAAACUGAUACAUAAUUGUGUAAAAUUGU